UGAAAACAUUCCAAGAGCGUGAAGUGAAUGCGUUUGGCCUCGGAUGGAAGGAGAGCGAAGGGACGGAGAAUUGACUUCCUGAGUCAUGGACUGGACGCCGAAUGUAGUACCUGUAUCGAUCAGAUUUCCCCAGGGAAAUAAAACCAAGUCUAUAUCCACAUAUAUCUCAAGGGAGACAGAGAGAGGGGAGGGGAGUGUGAAGAACCCGUCCUGCACAGUUUUGGGGCCUAGUGGGAUACGUUCACGGCAGCACCGCGUAACCGAGCAUGGUGGCCUGGCCAGGGGACUCCCAAGCCUGACUGUCUCAGUCUACUCUUGGACCUGCCACCCUCCACAUUGCCUGAGUCUUAUACUCGUCUCCAGAUCAAGACAGCAGCAAAGUCACACUGCUGCCCGAAACACAAGUAUGCUGCACGCAACUGAAAACAUGCUCCCUUUCCCCAGAAGAUGAAUGUCUGGGUGAUGUCCAGGCUUAUCCUGGAUGUCCUGCAGCAGAAAUGAGGGAGGCCUGUACAUGAGAGUCGCCCCAGCCGGUACAGUCACCCCCAUCUUCGCAUGCUGGUUCUGUGGCACAGGGAGUCCAAGGCAGGCCUCAC
rnacentral:lncRNA from 1 species